rnacentral:rRNA from 1 species
GAUGAACGCUGGCGGCGUGCCUAAUACAUGCAAGUCGAGCGAACGGACGAGAAGCUUGUCUUCCUGCUGUUAGCGGCGGACGGGUGAGUAACACGUGGAUAACCUACCUAUAAGACUGGGAUAACUUCGGGAAACCGGAGCUAAUACCGGAUAAUAUUUUGAACCGCAUGGUUCAAAAGUGAUAGACGGUCUUGCUGUCACUUAUAGAUGGUUCCGCGUUGCAUUAGCUAGUUGGUAAGGUAACGGCUUACCAAGGCAACGAUGCAUAGCCGACCUGAGAGGGUGAUCAGCCACACUGGAACUGAGACACGGUCCAGACUCCUACGGGAGGCAGCAGUGGGGAAUCUUCCGCAAUGGGCGAAAGCCUGACGGAGCAACGCCGCGUGAGUGAUGAAGGUCUUCGGAUCGUAAAACUCUGUUAUUAGGAAAGAACAGAUGUGUGAUUAACUGUGCACAUCUUGACGGUACCUAAUCAGAAAGCCACGGCUAACUACGUG